GUACUUUGAUGGGUUGCACCAAUACCACGAUCAACAGGUUUUCCCAGGAUGAGACCUGUCCAUUGCACUCUGGGCAGCGUGACCCUUAGGAGUUUCCCAAAUGCAGGAAACUUGACUGCACAAUUUUGUGGUAAUGGAGGACUGUGUUUGUGCUUUCCCCCU
rnacentral:snRNA from 1 species